AACGAACGCUGGCGGCAUGCCUAACACAUGCAAGUCGAACGAGACCUUCGGGUCUAGUGGCGCACGGGUGCGUAACGCGUGGGAACCUGCCCUUAGGUUCGGAAUAACUCCCCGAAAGGGGUGCUAAUACCGGAUAAUGUCUUCGGACCAAAGAUUUAUCGCCUUUGGAUGGGCCCGCGUUGGAUUAGCUAGUUGGUAGGGUAAAAGCCUACCAAGGCGACGAUCCAUAGCUGGUCUGAGAGGAUGAUCAGCCACACUGGGACUGAGACACGGCCCAGACUCCUAAGGGAGGCAGGAGGGGGGAAUAAUGGAAAAAGGGGGAAAGGCUGAUCCAGCAAAGGCGGGGGAGGGAUGAAGGGCUUAGGGUUGGAAAGCCCUUUUAACCGGGAAGAUAAUGACAGUACCGGGAGAAUAAGCUCCGGCUAACUCCGUG
rnacentral:rRNA from 1 species